rnacentral:tRNA from 1 species
GGAGGGGGAUCGGUCCCGGUGGACCGCCCGGUCUUCAAAACCGGUGUGAGGCGUUCAACGUGUCUGGUGGGUUCGACUCCCACCCCCUUCCGCCA